CAGCAAAGCUAGAAGCUCCAAGUUAGGCCCAUUGUGGGCCAAGGGAUCCUCCGCCUGGCAUCCCUGGGACGCACAGUGAUCCUGUCAGAAAACUCAGGACUUCAAGGGUUCCCUGGAAUUUUAUUCUACAAGAUUUUAUUUCCAGACAAGUCCACUGCAGCAAAGGCAAUAAAUUACCAAGGUCUAAAUUAAAUAUGGUUCAAGAGUUCUUAAAAACAGGCCACCAACACGUGCCUAUGAAAAAGAAAGCUACAGAAAUGCCACAGACCAGUUAUUGUGAUGGAGACAGAGCUCCUGCAAUCUCGUUCUUGCAACAGUUGACAGCUUUCAGCUUUGGCAUUCUAGAAGGCCCUUCUUUUCCUGGUGGAAUGUGAGACAAUGAGCCUUCCUGUGGACCACAACUCUGCUGAAACUUCACAGUGCUAGAUAAAGGUCUGCAAACAAUGAUAUAUCAGACAUUUAAACACAACAAGGGCCCUGGAAAAGAACAAAUUUACCCCUUAAGAGAAAAAUGUCCUGGUUCAAAUCUCACAGAAAAUAAUGCUUGCACUGCUGUUUUUCAUAGGAUGUGAGUCCUCCAUUCCAAACUAGGCAAUCCUUUGCUUUUCAUUCAGCAAUAUGAUUUCUAUAGCCUUUCUUCUUAGGAAACUCUACUAAUGAUGACACUUUAAUGAAUCAUUCACAAAAGUAAGAAUUCACUGAAUGUUACUAAAAGCUCUUUUCUGAAUGAAAAGUUGUACGCACAGACAUACUUGAAGACUUCUGCACAGAAUUUCUGGUUCCUGUGGUUUCUGUGCUGCCUGUUAUCCAUAUAGAGCAAAGGAAAGCUACUCGGCAUGAAAUUCGAGCAAUGUUCUUAUUGUAAAUGUGCUUCAGGACAGUACCUUUAGUCCAGUAAUAUAACACAAAAGCAGGUAACAUAGAGAUGAAAAGCAGCUUCUGCAGAAGGCAACACUUUAGUUACUCUGCGUGUGUGUUUUCAGUAGUUUUCUGUUGUCUUUAGUCUUUUCUGAACCAAGAACAACAUUUUACUAGGAAAAUCAACAUUGUAUUUUCAGUCUUAAUGAAUCUAAACCUACCAAAGUUAGCAGCAUUAGUCACAUCAUAUGAAUACCAUUCUUUCUACUAUUCUCUCUUAUAAUGAGGCAAAACAAAAUUAAGACAGAGGAUAUAAAUUGGAAGUGAACUAGUUGACACCUAGGCCAUGAAAGAACAUGAUCCAUCUUGGAUUGUUCUACUUAUGUUUGUAUUAUGUUUGCUGUUGGAUAAUACAGUAGCUGAUAGGGUACAGAUGACCUAAGGAAUAACCUACAAUCAGAUCCUGCAAAUAUUACAAAGGAGGAAUUUUGUCCAACCUAUGAGAAUGAUAAGUGCUUUGAUAAGAAAACUUCUGAUUUCAUUUCAGUGCUACCAUCUGGUGGGCAAAAAGUGGACAGCAAAAUUGCAUCGUAACACUGGAACGUUCUGAUACAGAGAGUUUCUGUUCUAUUUUGUGAAGGAUACAUACGAUAUUAUUAAAACAACUUGAACAUCUGGUUUGGGGAUAAAGUCAUUUUGCAGUGUUGCUGCCAAGCGUCAGGGCCAGGCACAAAGAAAACAACCUUCCCUUCCAGCCUCUCCAUAAUGCAUAACACCAAACUGUAAAACUUCAUGUCCAACACAAAUGAAGAACAAAAUAUACUGGAGCUAUAGCUGUACACAUCUUAAGAGGUUCACCUGAUAGCUUGAAAAGCAGGGCACUGUAUGAAACUAAAGACGCAGAAUUUUAAAGUCCAGUAGCGGGGAAAGAGAAAUCGUGUUUAUUUUAAUAUGUGCAAGUUAAAGGCCAAGUUUCAUCAAGCAUUCUGAGGAGAAGUAGUGGAAAGACAGAUCACCAGGAAAUCUUUGUAAUCAGUUAUUGAAAGGCUGUGUCAAGAUGUAAUGAUGAGCAGUAAUUUCUUUGGUACACUUGGAACUUGCAUGGCGAAGGUGGGAACAAGGGUCAGAUCUGAUGUUUUCCGACUACUGCCUCAACUUUG